GUUUCGCGGAGCCUUGGCGGAAACCCUACUGGGAGCCGGUGUGUCCCCCAGUAACAUUUGCAAAUGAAAGAAGAGGCGACCUGAUGUCUAAUGAUGACACUGCUCUUAUGACCAAAGGAAUGUGAGCUCGUAUAUUCUUUUAGAAUUUCCUAAGGCACUCAUGAAAGGUGGCCGGGUACCACUGUAUCAAUGGCCCAGUUGCCCAUCUCCUGGCGAGAGAUUUCCCUAAGUGACCUGGAAGUGUCACUAUUACCACCGCCCCACAUGAAUCUUGUGCUGGAGGCGACUAGAGCUGUGUGUCCCUCAGCAGAAGCAGGUGGCAUAAGCAAGAGUUCCAUUUUGGUUUCAUUUUCAGAGGACCCCAAUUGCGCAGUCUGCAAGAAAUAAUGUGCCUCUCAGGAUGGUUCCAAGCUGAGCCCAAAUCACUGAGGGAGAUUCACUGCUUGCUAACAUGAACUUUAUUCCUGGAUAAACAAGUCCCAAACCGUCUUGUCCAUAUGCCACCACGGUCAGGUCAAAACACACAUUAUCAGCUGGGUGCGGUGGCUCACGCUUGUAAUCCCAGCACUUCGGGAGGCCGAGGUGGGCGGAUCACUUGAGGUCAGGAGUUGGAGAUCAGCCUGGCCAACAUGGUGAAACCCCGUCUCUACUAAAAAUACAAAAAUUAGCCGG
rnacentral:lncRNA from 10 species